UACGUAAGGACCGAGCGUUGUCCGGAAUCAUUAGGCGUAAAGGGUACGUAGGCGGUCUAGUAAGUUAGAAGUGAAAGGCAAUAGCUCAACUAUUGUAAGCUUUUAAAACUGCUAGACUUGAGAGAUUGAAGGGAAAGUGGAAUUCCUAGUGUAGCGGUGAAAUUCGUAGAUAUUAGGAAGAACACCAGUGGCGAAGGCGGCUUUCUGGACUGUAACAGACGCUGAGGCACGAAAGCGUGGGGAGCGAACAGG
rnacentral:rRNA from 1 species